AUUGAACGCUGGCGGCAGGCUUAACACAUGCAAGUCGAACGAGUGGCGGACGGGUGAGUAAUGCCUGGGAAUCUCGCUGAUGGAGGGGGAUAACUACGGGAAACGGUAGCUAAUACCGCCUACCAUAGGAGGGGCCCAGGUGGGAUUAGGUAGUUGGUGGGGUAAAGGCUCACCAAGCCGACGCCCCCUAGCUGGUCUGAGAGGAUGACCAGCCACACUGGAACGGAGACACGGUCCAGACUCCUACGGGAGGCAGCAGUGGGGAAUAUUGCACAAUGGGCGCAAGCCUGAUGCAGCCAUGCCGCGUGAUUGAAGAAGGCCUUCGGGUUGUAAAGUUCUUUCAGUGGGGAGGCGUUACCCACAGAAGAAGCACCGGCUAACUCCGUGCCAGCCGCCGCGGUAAUAC
rnacentral:rRNA from 1 species